rnacentral:tRNA from 1 species
GCUGGUGUGGCUCAAUUGGUAGAGCAACUGACUUGUAAUCAGUAGGUUGGGGGUUCGAGUCCUCUCACCAGCUCCA